CCUACGGGAGGCAGCAGUGGGGAAUAUUGCACAAUGGGCGAAAGCCUGAUGCAGCAACGCCGCGUGCGGGAAGAAGGCCUUAGGGUUGUAAACCGCUUUCAGCAGGGAAGAAACUGACGGUACCUGCAGAAGAAGGUGCGGCCAACUACGUGCCAGCAGCCGCGGUGACACGUAGGCACCAAGCGUUGUCCGGAUUUAUUGGGCGUAAAGAGCUCGUAGGCGGUUCAGUAAGUCGGGUGUGAAAACUCUGGGCUCAACCCAGAGACGCCACCCGAUACUGCUGUGACUUGAGUACGGUAGGGGAGUGGGGAAUUCCUGGUGUAGCGGUGAAAUGCGCAGAUAUCAGGAGGAACACCAGUGGCGAAGGCGCCACUCUGGGCCGUAACUGACGCUGAGGAGC
rnacentral:rRNA from 1 species